CCCUUAGAUGUUCUGGGCCGCACGCGCGCUACACUGAUGAAUUCAACGAGUACCUAACCUAGGCCGAAGGGUCUGGGUAAUCUUUGAAAUUUCAUCGUGAUGGGGAUAGAUUAUUGCAAUUAUUAAUCUUCAACGAGGAAUUCCUAGUAAGCGCGAGUCAUCAGCUCGCGUUGAUUACGUCCCUGCCCUUUGUACACACCGCCCGUCGCUCCUACCGAUUGAGUGCUCAGGUGAAUAAUUCGGACUGCAGCAAUGUUUGGAUCCCGAACGUUGCAGCGGAAAGUUUAGUGAACCUUAUCACUUAGAGGAAGGAGAAGUCGUAACA
rnacentral:rRNA from 1 species